GGUUGUGUUUUGAAAACACAAUUUGGGUAUUUCAACCCUU
rnacentral:tRNA from 1 species